rnacentral:rRNA from 1 species
AACGAACGCUGGCGGCGUGCCUAACACAUGCAAGUCGAACGAGAAAGGGGCUUCGGCUCCGAGUAAAGUGGCGCACGGGUGAGUAACACGUGGGUAACCUGCCUCUAAGAUUGGGAUAACUCGUCGAAAGAUGAGCUAAUACCGAAUAAGACCACAGUUCCCGCGGGAACAGGGGUCAAAGGUAGCCUCUGCUUGCAAGCUAUCACUUAGAGAUGGGCCUGCGCACCAUUAGCUAGUUGGUAGGGUAACGGCCUACCAAGGCAAAGAUGGUUAGCUGGUCUGAGAGGAUGAUCAGCCACACUGGAACUGAGACACGGUCCAGACUCCUACGGGAGGCAGCAGUGGGGAAUAUUGCGCAAUGGGCGAAAGCUUGACGCAGCAACGCCGCGUGAAUGAUGAAGGCCUUCGGGUCGUAAAGCUCUGUCGGGAGGAACGAAUGCUCCUGAGGUUAACAGCCUCGGGAGGUGACGGUACCUUCAAAGGAAGCACCGGCUAACUCUGUG